CCUACGGGUUGCACCAGUGAGGAAUAUUGGACAAUGGGUGGAAGCCUGAUCCAGCCAUCCCGCGUGCAGGAAGACGGCCCUAUGGGUUGUAAACUGCUUUUAUCUGGGGAUAAACCUACUUACGUGUAAGUAGCUGAAGGUACCAGAAGAAUAAGCACCGGCUAACUCCGUGCCAGCAGCCGCGGUAAUACGGAGGGUGCAAGCGUUAUCCGGAUUUAUUGGGUUUAAAGGGUCCGUAGGCGGACUAGCAAGUCAGUGGUGAAAUCCGACAGCUUAACUGUCGAACUGCCAUUGAUACUGCUAGUCUUGAGUAAGGUUGAAGUGGCUGGAAUAAGUAGUGUAGCGGUGAAAUGCAUAGAUAUUACUUAGAACACCAAUUGCGAAGGCAGGUCACUAAGUCUUAGCUGACGCUGGUGGACGAAAGCGAGGGGAGCGAACAGGAUUAGAUACCCUCGUAGUC
rnacentral:rRNA from 1 species